GACGAACGCUGGCGGCGUGCUUAACACAUGCAAGUCGAACGAAGUGGCGAACGGGUGAGUAACGCGUAAUCAACCUGCCCUUCAGAGGGGGAUAACAGUUGGAAACGACUGCUAAUACAGCAUACUGCAGCAUGGGAUUGCGUCUGAUUAGCUAGUUGGAGGGGUCACGGCCCACCCAGGCGAUGAUCAGUAGCCGGGCUGGGAGUAUGAACGUCCACAUUGGGACUGAGAAGCGGCCCAGACUCCUACGGGAGGCAGCAGUUGGGGAUCUUCCGCAAUGGACGAAAGUCUGACGGAGCAACGCCGCGUUAGGGAUGACGGCCUUCGGGUUGUAAAGCUCUGUUAAUCGGGACGCGGUAGCGGAAUAGAAAGCCACGGCUAACUACGUGCCAGCAGCCGCGGUAAUAG
rnacentral:rRNA from 1 species